rnacentral:rRNA from 1 species
UUUCCGGUUGAUCCCGCCGGACCCUACUGCUAUUGGGGCAAGACUAAAACAUGCAAGUUGAACGUUUCGAACUAUGGCGAAACGUAGCGGACGGCUCAGUAACACGUGGCUAACCUGCCCUUGAGACGAGUAUAAUCCCGGGAAACUGGGGCUAAUACGCGAUAGGUGAAGAUGCCUGGAAUGGUUCAUCAUCUAAAGGACGUUGAGACCAUGUUUCACAGUGUCGCUCAAGGAUGGGGCCGCGGCCGAUCAGGUAGUUGGUGAGGUAACUGCUCACCAAGCCUUUGACCGGUACGGGCCGUGAGAGCGGGAGCCCGGAGAUGGGCACUGAGAUAAGGGCCCAGGCCCUAUGGGGCGCAGCAGUUGCGAAACCUCCGCAAUGCGCGAAAGCGUGACGUGGUUACCCCAAGUGCCAUCCGCUGAGGACGGCUUUUCUUUGGUGUAAUGAGCCAAAGGAAUAAGGGGAGGGCAAGACUGGUGUCAGCCGCCGCGGUAAUACCAGCUCCCCGAGUGGUAGGGACAAUUAUUGGGCUUAAAGCGUCCGUAGCCGGCCUGACAAGUCUUUCGUUAAAUCCAGCGACUUAAUCGUUGGGCUGCGGGAGAUACUAUCAGGCUAGGGGACGGGAGAGGCCGAUGGUAUUCUUGGGGUAGGGGUGAAAUCCUAUAAUCCCAGGAGGACCACCAGUGGCGAAGGCGAUCGGCUAGAACGCGCUCGACGGUGAUGGACGAAAGCUGGGGGAGCGAACCGGAUUAGAUACCCGGGUAGUCCCAGCUGUAAACGAUGCGAGCUAGGUGUUGGGGUGGUUACGAACCGCUUCAGUGCCGUAGGGAAACUGUUAAGCUCGCCGUCUGGGAAGUACGGUCGCAAGGCUGAAACUUAAAGGAAUUGGCGGGGGAGCACUACAAGGCGUGAAGCUUGCGGUUCAAUUGGAGUCAACGCCGGG